GGCUCAGAUUGAACGCUGGCGGCAUGCUUUACACAUGCAAGUCGAACGGCAGCGGGGAGGAGCUUGCUUCUCUGCCGGCGAGUGGCGAACGGGUGAGUAAUACAUCGGAACGUGUCGAGAAGAGGGGGAUAACCACCCGAAAGGGUGGCUAAUACCGCAUAAAUUCUGAGGAAGAAAGCUGGGGACCUAGGAAUAGGCCUAGCGCUUUUUGAGCGGCCGAUGUCGGAUUAGCUAGUUGGUGAGGUAAAGGCUCACCAAGGCGAAGAUCUGUAGCGGGUCUGAGAGGAUGAUCCGCCACACUGGGACUGAGACACGGCCCAGACUCCUACGGGAGGCAGCAGUGGGGAAUUUUGGACAAUGGGGGCAACCCUGAUCCAGCCAUGCCGCGUGUAUGAAGAAGGCCUUAGGGUUGUAAAGUACUUUUGUUAGGGAAGAAAAGUCAGCUGUGAAUAAUGGCUGAUACUGACGGUACCUAAAGAAUAAGCACCGGCUAACUACGUGCCAGCAGCCGCGGUAAUACGUAGGGUGCGAGCGUUAAUCGGAAUUAUUGGGCGUAAAGCGAGUGUAGACGGUUAUUUAAGCCACGAUGUGAAAUACCCGAGCCUAACUUGGGAGGUGCAUAUGGAACUGGGUAGCUAGAGUGUGUCAGAGGGAGGUAGAACUCCACGUGUAGCAGUGAAAUGCGUAGAGAUGUGGAAGAAUACCGAUGGCGAAGGCAGCC
rnacentral:rRNA from 1 species